rnacentral:lncRNA from 1 species
ACCUGCAGUCCCUGCAACGAAUUGUAUAUAUUAAUAAAACUUUUGGUAUCCAAUACACAGAUAGUAAUAUCACAAAUAGAGAAAUUAUAAAGAGUUAUCAUAUAAGUACCUUGUGAAGCAACCGCUUGCUUCUUUCUCUUAUUUUUAGGCCUGUUUGGGUCAAGGGUGGCUAUAUAAGUAGGACAAUUCUUUUUUCAAUGAUCCAGCUUCUUACAGAGGAAGCACUCUACCUGACUUUUAUCAACUUUUGAUGGUUUGCUCUGCUU